CUGAGAGGAAGGUCCCCCACAUUGGAACUGAGACACGGUCCAAACUCCUACGGGAGGCAGCUAGUGAGGAAUAGUGGUCAAUGGACGGGAGUCUGCACCAGCCAAGUAGCGUGAAGGAUGACUCCCCUAUGGGUUGUAAACUUCUUUUAUAAGGGAAUAAAGUGCAGCACGUGUGGUGUUUUGUAUGUACCUUAUGAAUAAGGAU
rnacentral:rRNA from 1 species